GGUAUAAUAAAGCUGUUGGUGAACCUUUGAGAAGCCUGUCUGAAUCCGUCUGGAGGCAAAGUGUCCUCUUUAUGGAAAUCUAAAUAUGCUCACCCUAAUAUAUAUACCUAUUCUAAAAGAAUUAGUUCUGUAGUUCCCAUUUUUAAGCCAACUGAUGUUUGCAGGAGCUGUUUUGAACUAGACUACAGAGGGACGGCAGCAGUUUAUGGAUCAUGUUACUUCAUGUUUUUGAACUUUAUUAGGGAGAUUCACUGAGCCUCCUGAUGGGUUUUUAGGCACAAGACAAUUUGGAGAUAAAGGCUCUUUAUCUAAACACAAAUAAUCCAGUAGAUUGUAUGUUUGACCUCCUCUGCCAUAAAACACGAGCAUAUUUACAUAAAAUAAUGAGAUUUUAAAUUAAUUCAGUCUUGUUUAAAUGAAACUUUCAGUUCCCCACCAUGUCCCCUUUUCUAUGUUCUUCUGAAAUCAAUUUAUGAUUAUAAUAAAAAACAAAGUAAUUCUGUUUUAAAAGUUACUGAUAAAUAGUACAGGUUGUGUAGUUUAAAGUACUUUAAGGCUGAAAUGAAUUAAAAUAACCCAAACUGAAUCAGCAGAGAUAUCUAGAAGAGGGUUAAACGGGUCUCAUCAGAAAGAACCAGAACAACAUGCAGACAGCAGUGAGUGGGCGGAGCCAAGAUACCUGGACAGAACACCAGCAGGGGGCAGUCUGGGCUCAGAGGAGGCAGGCCACAGGUUGGGUCAGGAUGUUCUGGUGGUUCUAGUUCUAAAACCUGGAGCUUCCUGUUUGAUGAAGAACCUCCUGGAACCGUCCAGAUUCUACCCUGAACCUCAGCUGCUGUUGUUUGUUUCAUCUUUCCUGGUUUCUCAGUGUUUCUGUGUUGAGUCUAAAUAGUCUCCUCCUGUCAGAGAAACUCUCCCACAGUAGAACAGAUAGUUUGGUCUCUCCAUGUCUGUCUCUUUCACUCAGAAACAUUUUCACAUUCAGUCGGUUUCUUUCUGAAACUCCUGGAAAAGAUUCCUUGUAAACUUCGUCCUCUUCCAGUCCUUUAAAGAUGGAAGCUGGGAUUAUUCCAGGAUCCAAAGGUUUGGUUCUGUUUCCACUCAAACCUUCAUUUAGGGUUUUUCCACCAAUGAGCCUUCAGUGCUAUACCAAUGCUGCUGGAGCUGGUUCUGUUCUGGUUCUGUUCUGGUUCUUUCCGUCUCUUCCAGUAAAUGUUUGAUCCUGGCUCUUAAUCUCACCGUCAGAGGAAGAUUGAACAUUUCUAUCUCCAAGCUUUUCUGUCCUGUUUCUUCUUUGUGUCUCUAAUGUAGUUUUUCUUGGUCUGAUCUGAACAGUUUUGUUCAUUAGUCCCAGAUAAACAGGCUGCCUCCUCAGGAUCUGUGGGCUGUGAAGUUCUGGGUUUCUGGAACUAAUUAGUGAUGGAAAAUGAUGACGCUGUUUGAACUGCCCAGCUGGUUGUUCAGUUCUUCACUGUUAGCAUCUGCUAUGUUUUAAUCAGCCAGAUCAGUUCCCAAUAUGACUUCUGAUGAGACAGUUCCUUAAAGAAGAAUCAUUCCAGACUAUCUGUGGCUGAACUGCAGAGGAUGGAAAUAUUGGAGAAUAAAACUGAAUUUUAUGCCAUUUUUCUGAUUCUUAAUUUUGAAAAUUAAUGUACAAUUUUGGCACAAUAAAGGCAUUUUCUAUUCUAUUCUUCUAUUCUAUACUACAAUUAAUAUUCUAUAUUCUAGUCUAACAAGUCUAGUCUCUUUCUCCUCCAGUGAAUCGUUUCUCUCCAUCAGCUGUUGUCCUCAGUGGGAUGUUUCAUUCUUCCUCCACAUUAAAUGUUUUCCUGUCAUUUGGAUCCUGACCUUUAGAUGUUUGUAUUUUUUCUCUGUCAGUUUCUGGUGUUUCUUCUUUUGAAUUUCAGACUGUUGGUAUUUUACCGCAGGUAUUUUCACUGCUGUUCCAGUGCUCUUGUAAUGGGUCUGCACCAUUAACCUCACUGGAUCUGCUGGUUGUUUGAAACACAGCAGCCCAGUUUAGAGGCAGCAGACACUCUGACCAUAUAUGGCUGAUAGAAACAGAGCUGAGUCAAUGUGAA